rnacentral:rRNA from 1 species
UACGGGGGGAGCAAGCGUUGUUCGGAUUUACUGGGCGUAAAGGGCGCGUAGGCGGCACUGCAAGUCAGUUGUGAAAUCUCCGGGCUUAACCCGGAAAGGUCAACUGAUACUGCAGGGCUAGAGUGCAGAAGGGGCAACUGGAAUUCUCGGUGUAGCGGUGAAAUGCGUAGAUAUCGAGAGGAACACCUGCGGCGAAGGCGGCCUGCUGGGCAGUGAGCUGACGCUGAGGCGCGACAGCGUGGGGAGCAAACAGG